rnacentral:rRNA from 1 species
CCUACGGGGGGCAGCAGUAGGGAAUCUUCGGCAAUGGGGGCAACCCUGACCGAGCAACGCCGCGUGAGUGAAGAAGGUUUUCGGAUCGUAAAGCUCUGUUGUAAGUCAAGAACGGGUGUGAGAGUGGAAAGUUCACACUGUGACGGUAGCUUACCAGAAAGGGACGGCUAACUACGUGCCAGCAGCCGCGGUAAUACGUAGGUCCCGAGCGUUGUCCGGAUUUAUUGGGCGUAAAGCGAGCGCAGGCGGUUUGAUAAGUCUGAAGUUAAAGGCUGUGGCUCAACCAUAGUUCGCUUUGGAAACUG